CAGCCGCCACGGUAAUACAGAGGGUGCGAGCGUUAAUCGGAUUUACUGGGCGUAAAGCGUGCGUAGGCGGCUUCUUAAGUCGGAUGUGAAAUCCCUGAGCUUAACUUAGGAAUUGCAUUCGAUACUGGGAAGCUAGAGUAUGGGAGAGGAUGGUAGAAUUCCAGGUGUAGCGGUGAAAUGCGUAGAGAUCUGGAGGAAUACCGAUGGCGAAGGCAGCCAUCUGGCCUAAUACUGACGCUGAGGUACGAAAGCAUGGGGAGCAAACAGGAUUAGAUACCCCUGUAGUCCUGUCUCUUAUACA
rnacentral:rRNA from 1 species